UCCAGCACUAAAACGUUGUUUUCACGAUUCAUCAAGAGACAGAAACGAACCUUGGCUUGCUCUCCCCCUGAUAAUACUUGAAUCUGGCUUUCAAUAUGUUUGGUUGUCAAACCACAACGGGCAAGGGCUGCACGAACUUCUGCUUGAUUAAGGGCAGGAAAGGCAUUCCAGACAGCUUCAAGAGGAGUUUGGCGAUUACCACCUUCUACUUCCUGCUCAAAAUAACCAAGUUCUAAAUAAUCUCCACGCUCCACUUCCCCAGCGAUUGGCGAGAUAAUGCCCAAGAGACUCUUCAAGAGAGUUGUUUUUCCAAUACCAUUAGCACCAAUAAUCGCAACCUUUUGAUUGCGUUCGAAGGUAAGAUUUAAAGGCUUAGUAAGAGGACAGUCGUAACCAAUUUGCAAGUUCUUGGCUUGGAAGAUAAAGCGCCCUGGUGUACGAGCUGGUUUGAAAUCAAAGGAUGGUUUUGGUUUCUCACUUUGGAGUUCGAUAAUAUCCAUCUUAUCCAAUUUCUUUUGACGAGACAUAGCCAUAUUACGAGUUGCAACACGGGCUUUAUUACGAGCCACAAAGUCCUUGAGGUCUGCAAUCUCUUUCUGCUGGCGUUCGUAGGCUGCCUCUAGCUGAGAUUUCUUCAUAGCAUAAACUUCUUGGAACUGGUAGUAGUCACCAGAGUAACGCGUCAGCUGUUGAUUUUCCACAUGAUAGACAAUAUUAAUAACGUCAUUGAGGAAUGGAAUAUCGUGCGAAAUGAGAACAAAGGCAUUCUCAUAGUUUUGGAGAUAGCGCUUGAGCCAAUCAAUAUGCUCAGCAUCCAAGUAGUUGGUCGGCUCGUCCAACAGCAAGAUAUCAGGCUUUUCAAGGAGAAGUUUUGCCAAAAGCACCUUGGUUCUUUGCCCACCUGACAAAGAAGUUACAUCCGUAUCCAUCCCAAAGUCCAUAACACCAAGAGCACGCGCUACUUCGUCAAUCUUAGCAUCCAAGGUAUAGAAAUCACGACUCUCCAGACGGUCUUGAAGUUCUCCUACUUCUUCCAUGAGAGCAUCAACAUCCGCGCCGUCUUCAGCCAUUUUCAUAUAGAGGUCAUUGAUACGAGCUUCAGCUUUGAAAAGCUCAUCAAAAGCCGUACGGAGAACAUCACGCACCGACUGUCUUUCAGCAAGGACAGAGUGCUGAUCCAAGUAACCAGCCGUCACAUAUUUGGACCACUCAACCUUUCCUUCAUCUGGCAGCAUUUUACCAGUCACGAUACUCAUAAAGGUUGAUUUUCCUUCACCAUUGGCACCGACCAGGCCGAUAUGUUCUCCCUUGAGGAGACGGAAGGACACAUCUUCAAAAAUUGCACGGUCACCAAAACCGUGACUCAGAUUUUUAACUUCUAAAAUACUCAUUUUAAUUCCUUAUCUUGUUUUUAUGUAAUCGUUUAUAAAGGAGCCAAGCCAGAUAGCCACCCAAAGUAUUGGUCCACAAAUCAUCAAUCUCAAAGACGCGAUUGAAAUCAAAGAAAAAGUCCAAGAUUAAUUGCGUACACUCGAUUCCAAGACUCACAAGAAAACUAAAAAGAAGGACCUUUUUUGUUUUCCGCAAAUUUGGAAAUAGAUAAAGGAGUUGGAAAAUCAGAGGAAAAAACAAGAAGACAUUGAGGACAUUUUGUAAAAAAAUCCAACAUAAUUGUCCAAUGUCACUCACUUCGCCCAGUUUCCAGAGAGAAUUGAAAGGAGUCAAAAGAAAAACCAGGCGUCCAAGAUGCUGAAUACCUGGAGUUCCCACUCCUACGGUAGAUUGUUCUUGAGGAGUAAAGCAAAAACAGACAAUGCAAAUGCUAUAGAAAAUGACUCCCCAGACCAAAAUAUGAUUAUAAGUCUUCUUCAUCAUUAAGGAUUUACCGCUGCGACUGCCUUCUGGCGGUCACGUUUCAUUGUGUUAGAGCGCAAUUGUCCACAAGCUGCGUCAAUAUCUGUACCAUGCUCUUGACGAACCACACAGUUGACCCCUUUUUUCUUAAGCGUAUCAUAGAAAGCCAACACGCGCUCUUUGGGACUACGGCUAUAUUGGUCAUGCUCACUAACUGGGGUAUAAGGAAUCAAGUUUACAUAAGACAAUUUCUUGAUGUUCUUGAGCAAUUCAGCCAAUUCCAAGGCUUGUUCUACACCGUCGUUGACUUCAUUAAGCAUGAUAUAUUCAAAGGUUACACGACGGUUUGUUGUCUCAAUGUAGUAUUCAAUAGCAGCAAAGAGUUUUUCAAUCGGAAAGGCACGGUUAAUCUUCAUGAUACUUGAACGAAGUUCAUUGUUAGGUGCGUGAAGAGACACGGCAAGAUUGACCUGAACCCCUUCAUCAGCAAAGUUACGAAUUUUAUGAGCCAAACCUGAGGUUGAAACCGUGAUGUGACGAGCACCGAUAGCCAUUCCUUUAUCAUCAUUGAUAGUACAAACGAAAUUCAAGACAUUGUUGUAAUUAUCAAAGGGCUCACCGAUUCCCAUGACAACGAUAUGGCUGACGCGUUCAUCCUGACCACGCUCAGCAAAGUAUUUCUGAACCAGCNUUAAGGAUGUGAGGAGGAAGACGCAGUGAACUGAAACAUCUAAGUAGCUGCAGGAAGAGAAAGCAAAAGCGAUUGCCUUAGUAGCGGCGAGCGAAACGGCAGAAGGGCAAACCGAAGAGUUUACUCUUCGGGGUUGUAGGACUGCAAUGUGGACUCAAAGAUUAUAGAAGAAUGAUUUGGGAAGAUCAGCCAAAGAGAGUAAUAGCCUCGUAUUUUAAAUAGUCUUUGUACCUAGCAGUAUCCUGAGUACGGCGGGACACGUGAAAUCCCGUCGGAAUCUGGGAGGACCAUCUCCCAACCCUAAAUACUCCCUAGUGACCGAUAGUGAACCAGUACCGUGAGGGAAAGGUGAAAAGCACCCCGGGAGGGGAGUGAAAUAGAACCUGAAACCGUGUGCCUACAACAAGUUCGAGCCCGUUAAUGGGUGAGAGCGUGCCUUUUGUAGAAUGAACCGGCGAGUUACGUUAUGAUGCGAGGUUAAGUUGAAGAGACGGAGCCGUAGGGAAACCGAGUCUGAAUAGGGCGCCUUAGUAUCAUGACGUAGACCCGAAACCAUGUGACCUACCCAUGAGCAGGUUGAAGGUGCGGUAAGACGCACUGGAGGACCGAACCAGGGCACGUUGAAAAGUGCUUGGAUGACUUGUGGGUAGCGGAGAAAUUCCAAACGAACUUGGAGAUAGCUGGUUCUCUCCGAAAUAGCUUUAGGGCUAGCGUCGACAUUAGAGAUUCUUGGAGGUAGAGCACUGUUUGGGUGAGGGGUCCAUCCCGGAUUACCAAUCUCAGAUAAACUCCGAAUGCCAAAGAAUUAUGGUCGGCAGUCAGACUGCGAGUGCUAAGAUCCGUAGUCGAAAGGGAAACAGCCCAGACCACCAGCUAAGGUCCCAAAAUAAUUGUUAAGUGGAAAAGGAUGUGGGGUUGCACAGACAACUAGGAUGUUAGCUUAGAAGCAGCUAUUCAUUCAAAGAGUGCGUAAUAGCUCACUAGUCGAGUGACCCUGCGCCGAAAAUGUACCGGGGCUAAAACAAUUUACCGAAGCUGUGGAUACCUUUAUAGGUAUGGUAGGAGAGCGUUCUAUGUGUGAUGAAGGUAUACCGUGAGGAGUGCUGGAACGCAUAGAAGUGAGAAUGCCGGUAUGAGUAGCGAAAGACAGGUGAGAAUCCUGUCCACCGUAAGACUAAGGUUUCCAGGGGAAGGCUCGUCCGCCCUGGGUUAGUCGGGACCUAAGGAGAGACCGAAAGGUGUAUCCGAUGGACAACAGGUUGAUAUUCCUGUACUAGAGUAUGUAGUGAUGGAGGGACGCAGUAGGCUAACUAAAGCAGACGAUUGGAAGAGUCUGUCUAAGCAGUGAGGUGUGAAUUGAGUCAAAUGCUUAAUUCUAUAACAUUGAGCUGUGAUGGGGAGCGAAGUUUAGUAGCGAAGUUAGUGACGUCACACUGCCAAGAAAAGCUUCUAGCGUUUAAACAUACUCUACCCGUACCGCAAACCGACACAGGUAGUCGAGGCGAGUAGCCUCAGGUGAGCGAGAGAACUCUCGUUAAGGAACUCGGCAAAAUGACCCCGUAACUUCGGGAGAAGGGGUGCUGACUUAAAGUCAGCCGCAGUGAAUAGGCCCAAGCAACUGUUUAUCAAAAACACAGCUCUCUGCUAAAUCGUAAGAUGAUGUAUAGGGGGUGACGCCUGCCCGGUGCUGGAAGGUUAAGAGGAGUGCUUAGCGUAAGCGAAGGUAUGAAUUGAAGCCCCAGUAAACGGCGGCCGUAACUAUAACGGUCCUAAGGUAGCGAAAUUCCUUGUCGGGUAAGUUCCGACCCGCACGAAAGGCGUAAUGAUUUGGGCACUGUCUCAACGAGAGACUCGGUGAAAUUUUAGUACCUGUGAAGAUGCAGGUUACCCGCGACAGGACGGAAAGACCCCAUGGAGCUUUACUGCAGUUUGAUAUUGAGUGUCUGUACCACAUGUACAGGAUAGGUAGGAGUCUACGAGAUCGGGACGCCAGUUUCGAAGGAGACGCUGUUGGGAUACUACCCUUGUGUUAUGGCCACUCUAACCCAGAUAGGUGAUCCCUAUCGGAGACAGUGUCUGACGGGCAGUUUGACUGGGGCGGUCGCCUCCUAAAAGGUAACGGAGGCGCCCAAAGGUUCCCUCAGAAUGGUUGGAAAUCAUUCGCAGAGUGUAAAGGUAUAAGGGAGCUUGACUGCGAGAGCUACAACUCGAGCAGGGACGAAAGUCGGGCUUAGUGAUCCGGUGGUUCCGUAUGGAAGGGCCAUCGCUCAACGGAUAAAAGCUACCCUGGGGAUAACAGGCUUAUCUCCCCCAAGAGUUCACAUCGACGGGGAGGUUUGGCACCUCGAUGUCGGCUCGUCGCAUCCUGGGGCUGUAGUCGGUCCCAAGGGUUGGGCUGUUCGCCCAUUAAAGCGGCACGCGAGCUGGGUUCAGAACGUCGUGAGACAGUUCGGUCCCUAUCCGUCGCGGGCGUAGGAAAUUUGAGAGGAUCUGCUCCUAGUACGAGAGGACCAGAGUGGACUUACCGCUGGUGUACCAGUUGUCUUGCCAAAGGCAUCGCUGGGUAGCUAUGUAGGGAAGGGAUAAACGCUGAAAGCAUCUAAGUGUGAAACCCACCUCAAGAUGAGAUUUCCCAUGAUUAUAUAUCAGUAAGAGCCCUGAGAGAUGAUCAGGUAGAUAGGUUAGAAGUGGAAGUGUGGCGACACAUGUAGCGGACUAAUACUAAUAGCUCGAGGACUUAUCCAA
rnacentral:rRNA from 1 species